AAUAAAGUGCCUGAAAAAGGAUUAUUCUGAUAGGAUAAAUAAUGUAAUUAAUUAUUACCUUUAUUA
rnacentral:tRNA from 1 species